rnacentral:rRNA from 1 species
GACGAACCUUGCAAACGUUAUUCGGAAUUACUGGGCUUAAAGGGUGCGUAGGCUGUGCAGAAAGUCAGGUGUGAAAUACCUCAGCUUAACUGAUGAAUUGCGCCCGAAACUACUGUGCUAGAGGAAGACAGAGGUAAGCGGAACUUAGGGUGGAGCGGUGAAAUGCGUUGAUAUCCUAAGGAACACCGGUGGCGAAAGCGGCUUACUGGGUCUUAUCUGACGCUGAUGCACGAAAGCUAGGGUAGCGAACGGG